CUGGCGCACGGGUGAGUAACGCGUAUCCAACCUGCCCUUUACUUGGGGAUAACCCGUUGAAAGACGGACUAAUACCCAAUGAUAUUCAUUGAUGACAUCUGAUUUGAAUUAAAGAUUUAUCGGUAUAGGAUGGGGAUGCGUCUGAUUAGCUUGUUGGUGAGGUAACGGCUCACCAAGGCCACGAUCAGUAGGGGUUCUGAGAGGAAGGUCCCCCACAUUGGAACUGAGACACGGUCCAAACUCCUACGGGAGGCAGCAGCC
rnacentral:rRNA from 1 species